GGUUGGUCUGAUGUUAACGUGUUAUUGGUAUUAACUCUAGUGCCGCUAUAGUACAUAUAGGCCCCUCACUGAUAAGUUUGACUGGCUUUUU
ensembl:misc_RNA Y_RNA Y RNA